ACUUCAACUUCUUCACUCACUCUCUCGUUCUCGCUCGCGCCGUUGCAAGUUUCUUUCUUUGAAAUCUCAAACCCUAAUUUCUUGUUUGUUCCACAAUUUCUCAAUCAAUUGCUCAUCAAUUUCUCAAUCAAUUCCACAAUUCAAACCCUAAUUCACAACACCAUGAUCGAUUUUGCUUCUCAUCAUCAUCCAACCCUGUUUUUCAACAAGGGUGAUCAUCAUCUCGAUGAUCUUCAAACUGAUAAGAAGAAAACAUUCAACUCUGACAAAGCACACACAACCUCCAAACCUGUUCUUCAACCACCUCAAACAAACGAUCAAAAUCGCAUCUUGAAGAUCACCUUUUUCUCCUCUUCUCUUCGUAACAAGGAGAAACAACAACAGGAGAAACCUUAUUUGUGUCGUGUUUGCGAAAGGGCUUUUACAUCCAACCGAGCUUUGAAUGGACAUAUGAGAUGUCACAGUUCCAAGAAGGGUACUUCUCCAUUUUUGACUUGUCAAGAUGCUAUUGACUUGUCAAGGUUUUUGCCCCCAAAAACCUACGAGACCCGUAAACGUUCAAGGAGAUUUUUCAUUGAUGAUGAUGUCCGUGAGGUUGCUCAAUCAUUGUUAGAUAUGUCUUGUGGGAAAUCGUUAUAUUUUGAUGCGGAUAAUCACGAUAACAACGGUAAAAGAUUGAAGCUUUCCGAUGAAAAAGCAAGGUGUUGAUGAUCCUUUGUCUAUUUGUGUUAAUUGAAUUGAAUGAACAGGAUUUUAUCAUCUUAUUAUUGUUAUAACUUGUGCUGUUUCGAUGUUUUGGUAGUGGAAUUUAUUCUUGUAUAUGAAGUAUAGAACUGAAACACUUGAGUUUUUGUAUGAUGUUUUUAUGUUUGAAUUCAUAUUCUUACACUUGUUAUUGUUUAUUUCAUGUGUCAUUCUUUCAUGAAUUGAUGAGCAUAAAAGCAAAAUCAAUGAUACUUUGCCAAAGUCACCUAGAUUGGUAGUAAUGGUUUCAUUAUGGUAAGUUAAUAUUUUUGGAUUAUCACACAAUCUACUGAUGAUCUCUCUGCUACUUUAUUGAUCAUUUGAAUUAUAAGGUAAGUUAGCUUUCCAUUAAGUUUUGUGAUCCGAUUCCUUCUAAGUAAUUGAUUGCUAACUAUUCUUUUUUGCUGGUCAUUUUGGUUUUAAUCUUUAACACUUCUUGAUGUAUUCUAUUCAACCAUCACUAUAUGUCAUUUGUUAGUACGAAUCAGUUAUACUCUUUUCUAACUUCAACGUUAUCCAUCGUUCUCCCUUUUUUCUAUAUUAAGUCUUUUAUUUUUGGUGCAAUGCUUAAUACACUCACAUUUAUAUCAAGAUUCGAGAUGAAAACGAUAUUUUCUGCAGUUUCUUAAAGCUUCUAAUAGGGUUGUCGAUUUCUUUUCACUUUUUUGUUAUUCUGGAUUUAAAAUCUCCCUUUCAAAUAUUAUUGUUUGUAUCUUUUUGUAUGUAAUGAUGGGUGUCUCAUAAACAGAUUUUGAAGCACGAGUGGCUAGCAAGAUGGCGAAGCUUCAUUCCUGAUCUUGUCUCAGCAGCUAAAACUAGUGAAACGAUCUGCGAGAAUUGCAUGGCUAUACUGAAACUUUUGAGUGAAGAGGUUUCUGAUUUUUCGAGAGGAGAAAUGACACAGCAGAAGAUAAAAGAGCUUAAACAAUCAUUGAACAGUGAAUUUCAACUCAUACAUGAGUUAUGCCUAUAUGUGCAAUCAGCAUCCCAAAGGGCCGAGCUCAUACGCGCUCAUAUGUGCCUAUAUGUGUCCACAUUACAUGCCUUCUUAUCAUGGAUUCCCUUGGGUUAUAUAUUUGAAUCA